UACGAAGGGUGCAAGCGUUACUCGGAAUUACUGGGCGUAAAGCGUGCGUAGGCGGUUUGUUAAGUCUGUCGUGAAAGCCCCGGGCUCAACCUGGGAAUGGCGAUGGAUACUGGCGAGCUAGAGUACGGUAGAGGAGAGUGGAAUUCCCGGUGUAGCGGUGAAAUGCGCAGAUAUCAGGAGGAACACCGAUGGCGAAGGCAGCUCGCUGGGACGGUACUGACGCUGAGGCGCGAAAGCGUGGGGGAGCAAACAGG
rnacentral:rRNA from 1 species